rnacentral:lncRNA from 1 species
UGUGCCAGUGGACUCCGUGUCACUUUGCCGUAGACAUUGUUCUCCAUCUCCCCCUCCCAGGCAAAACGAUCACUCUCCGGAGCCCUGACUGCUGAAGAGAUGCAUCUCCUGUCAUCUGUAAGAGUGUCUGACUGAACAGUGCACAAAGGCCCUUUCCUGUUGAGCGCUGAUCGGUAGCUUGGGGGCACAGCUGCAUUCCCCUUGCUAACAGCUCCACUGGCUAAGUUCAAGCUUGUUAACUGCUGUGUAAGGAGGCUGAUGUGGCUUGGUGGGGAAUACUGACAAGCUGCUUGUUUUUCUGCCAGCUGCUGCAGUUCUGCUGCCACCAUACUGGGGCUGUAACGUUUGCCCAGGGAAGGAGCAUCUUCUGUACCUUUGUUCAUCAUGAUGGAGCUCACACGCUGCCCACUUGGACUGCGAUGGCGCAAACCUGCUUUUGCA